CUUCAGUGGUACCCAGGACAACCCAAUAAUUACUGGGGUAAUGAGAACUGUGCACCAGUCUUUAAAGGGCUGUUCAUCGAUGAACAGUGCACCAACAUGCGCUAUUUCUUCUGUCACACCAUUUCCCCGGUGAAGAAACAGACAGUGAGACUGCAGCUGAAGUCUGACAGAAGUGUGUUCGAUCCUGUUGUACAGUCCUUUAUUUUAGAGCAGAUGAAGCAGAAACUGGAAGAACAUUUUAUGAUGGAAAACAUCACAGUGACCUGGAGGGUCCAGCCUGAUGGAAACAUCUUCCACAAGAAAAACAAAGAACCUGAAUUGAUCAAAAGCAAGUGAAGGGUGCUAAGUGAAAUAUUUAGUUUAGUAUUGGCAGAUAAUAAUUUUCAUAUAGGAUAUAUAAAAUGUGAUAGAACCCAUGUGAUGCGAUAGGAAUAGAAUCUAUGUUCGGAUUUUACUUGGAAACAAACACAGGGAAAACAAUCCAAAACAGUAGGCAACAGAGUCGUAACCCAGGCGGUCGCAUUUUCUCUCCCUCUCCUCCCCUCUACUUUCCCUGCUUUGCUUCUUUCGUCUCGUCUAUUGUCUUAUACUUUGAGAGACUCUCUCCGCACUGCUCUCCAAACUAAAAUAUCAUGGAUCUGAUAAACUGGUCUCUCAACGCAAUUGACACCAUCUUCUCGACGAGAAGCUUGGGUUCGGGGGGAACCUGACUGCCCUGCCGGAACGUUCGCAGCUGGCUAUACGAUGGAUGCGUGGGAGAGGUGGCGGGUCGUGUGUCUGGUGCCUCUUUCCGUGGAGGACGUUGAAGAUAUCUACCUAUUUGGAACCAUGAUAACAGGAGUUCUGCUGAUUGGAUUAGGCAUUGCCCUGGGUUAUCGAGAGAAUCAGAAAACGGUAACAGCUGUUCAAAAUCUCCCAAAGCUGCCCGUUAUGAUCGACGCAGUGGGCAGAGCGGUCAGCACUGAGGCUGGGACUAAUAACCACAAUAUGGAUAACAUCACGAUGAAACUCACUGCUUUGGAUACUGUUUUGGUUAACAUCACUGCUUUGGAAAGAAAAAUGGAUCGAUAUGGAGACCAGAAUGGACUAAGAGAGUAGUCGUGUAAAUUGGAAUGCGUCUACUCGCCCCAAGACCAAACAAUCCUAAUCUUAUCUGCUUUCGGCUCCCCCUCAACCAGCACUGGCCUCGGCCAAGGCCGCUGUUGGAACAACAAUUCCCCUGGAAGAGCACUGCAGCGAGACGCUCUUGCGUUCCUUCCCCCACUUCUACAGACACCUGCUGAUUGUUGACUCUCUUUGGGACCUAAUCAAGGUUGUCUCCAUGGUAAUUUGCUGUGUAUCGCUAUGACAAUCUUGCGGACUGAGGCACCAAGAUUUUGAUGCCGGGAGCAACGACUCUCCAGGCCUACACUUACAUACAGUACAUACACACACACACACAUAAAGAUAUGCACUCACCCCCCACCCCCCAUCCCACGCCUUCGCCGCUUUGUACCGCCAGUCUGACAAGCGGGUCUGUGACCAGCGCCGAAGAUAAAGGCCGCAGGACCUGAUGGCUGCUUGCCUGUGCUGGAUUACCUCCACCCCAAA